UACAGAGGUGCCGAGCGUUAGGCGGAAUCACUGGGCUUAAAGCGUGUGUAGGCGGCUGCCUAAGUACCUUGUGAAAUCCCCCGGCUCAACCGGGGAAUGGCUGGAUAUACUGGCGGUCUUGAGCAGUCUAGGGGCAGAUGGAACAAGUGGUGGAGCGGUGAAAUGCGUAGAUAUCACUUGGAACGCCAAAGGUGAAAACAGUCUGCUGGGGACUUGCUGACGCUGAGACACGAAAGCCAGGGGAGCGAACGGG
rnacentral:rRNA from 1 species